rnacentral:ncRNA from 1 species
UAACCUUUAUAGUGAUAUGAAACGGAAGGUAGAGAAGUCAGCAGCCGUCAUAGUAGAAACGUAAGUUCAGAAGGGC